rnacentral:rRNA from 1 species
AUUGAACGCUGGCGGCAUGCCUUACACAUGCAAGUCGAACGGCAGCACGGGGCAACCUGGUGGCGAGUGGCGAACGGGUGAGUAAUGCAUCGGAACGUACCUUUCAGUGGGGGAUAACGUAGCGAAAGUUACGCUAAUACCGCAUAUUCUGUGAGCAGGAAAGCAGGGGAUCGCAAGACCUUGCGCUGAUUGAGCGGCCGAUGUCGGAUUAGCUAGUUGGUGAGGUAAAGGCUCACCAAGGCGACGAUCUGUAGCGGGUCUGAGAGGAUGAUCCGCCACACGGGAACUGAGACACGGUCCAGCCUCCUACGGGAGGCAGCAGUGGGGAAUUUUGGACAAUGGGGGCAACCUUGCUCCAGCCAUGCCGCGUGAGUGAAGAAGGCCUUCGGGUUGUAAAGCUCUUUCGGCCGGGAAGAAAUCGCACGGGCUAAUACCCUGUGUGGAUGACGGUACCGGAAUAAGAAGCACCGGCUAACUACGUGCCAGCAGCCGCGGUAAUAC